GAUGAACGCUGGCGGCGUGCCUAAUACAUGCAAGUCGAGCGAAUGGAUUAAGAGCUUGCUCUUAUGAAGUUAGCGGCGGACGGGUGAGUAACACGUGGGUAACCUGCCCAUAAGACUGGGAUAACUCCGGGAAACCGGGGCUAAUACCGGAUAACAUUUUGAACCGCAUGGUUCGAAAUUGAAAGGCGGCUUCGGCUGUCACUUAUGGAUGGACCCGCGUCGCACUAGCUAGUUGGUGAGGUAACGGCUCACCAAGGCAACGAUGCGUAGCCGACCUGAGAGGGUGAGCGGCCAAACUGGGAAUGAGACACGGCCCAGACUCCUCCGGGAGGCAGCAGUAGGGAAUCUUCCGCAAUGGACGAAAGUCUGACGGAGCAACGCCGCGUGAGUGAUGAAGGCUUUCGGGUCGUAAAACUCUGUUGUUAGGGAAGAACAAGUGCUAGUUGAAUAAGCUGGCACCUUGACGGUACCUAACCAGAAAGCCACGGCUAACUACGUGCCAGCCGCCGCAGUAA
rnacentral:rRNA from 1 species